rnacentral:misc_RNA from 1 species
CCCAACUAUCCCUAUUAAUCAUUACGUGGUCCUAAAACCAACAAAAUAGAACCAUUGUCCUAUUUUAUUAUUCCAUGCUAAUGUAUUCAAGCAAAAAUGCCCGCUUUAAACUCUAAUUUUUUCAAAGUAAAGGUCCUGAUUCAUCGAAACACCCAAGAGCAUCCCGACUCACCAGAAGGUGAGAAAUUGGCUACACACCAUUUCAUGCCCCUAAAAGCAUGACCGAUAUAUCCCAAUCCCGAAAUUCAACUACGAGCUUUUUAACCGCAACAACACUAAUAUACACUAUUGGAGCUGGAAUUACCGCGGCUGCUGGCACCAGACUUGCCCUCCAA